rnacentral:rRNA from 1 species
AUUGAACGCUGGCGGCAUGCCUAACACAUGCAAGUCGAACGAGUGGCGGACGGGUGAGUAAUGUAUGGGAAACUGCUCGAUGGAGGGGGAUAACUACUGGAACCGGUAGCUAAUCCCGCAUACCAUCGGAUGUGCCUAGAUGGGAUUUGCUAGUAGGUGGGGUAACGGCUCACCUAGGCGACGAUCCCUAGCCGGUCUGAGAGGAUGACCAGCCACACUGGAACUGAGACACGGUCCAGACUCCUACGGGAGGCAGCAGUGGGGAAUAUUGCACAAUGGGCGAAAGCCUGAUGCAGCCAUGCCGCGUGUAUGAAGAAGGCCUUCGGGUUGUAAAGUACUUUCAGCGAGGAGGCGUUACUCGCAGAAGAAGCACCGGCUAACUCCGUGCCAGCAGCCGCGGUAAUAC